CCUACGAGAGACUGCAGUGGGGAAUAUUGGACAAUGGGGGCAACCCUGAUCCAGCGACGCCGCGUGAGUGAAGAAGUAUUUCGGUAUGUAAAGCUCUAUUAGCAGGGAAGCAAGAAAUGACGGUACUUGACUAAGAAGCCUCGGCUAACUACGUGCCAGCAGCCGCUGUAAUACGUAGGGGGCAAGCGUUAUCCGGAUUGACUGGGUGUAAAGGGAGCGUAGACGGCGAUGCAAGUCUGAAGUGAAAGGCGGGGGCCCAACCUCCGGACUGCUUUGGAAACUGUAUGGCUGGAGUGCAGGAGAGGUAAGUGGAAUUCCUAGUGUAGCGGCGAAAUGCGUAGAUAUUAGGAGGAACACCAGUGGCGAAGGCGGCUUACUGGAGUGUAACUGACGUUGAGGCUCGAAAGCGUGGGGAGCAAACAGGAUUAGAUACCCGGGUAGUC
rnacentral:rRNA from 1 species